rnacentral:rRNA from 1 species
CAGUAGCCGCGGUAAUACGUAGGUGGCAAGCGUUGUCCGGAAUUAUUGGGCGUAAAGCGCGCGCAGGCGGAUAGGUCAGUCUGUCUUAAAAGUUCGGGGCUUAACCCCGUGAUGGGAUGGAAACUGCCAAUCUAGAGUAUCGGAGAGGAAAGUGGAAUUCCUAGUGUAGCGGUGAAAUGCGUAGAUAUUAGGAAGAACACCAGUGGCGAAGGCGACUUUCUGGACGAAAACUGACGCUGAGGCGCGAAAGCCAGGGGAGCGAACGGGAUUAGAUACCCCAGUAGUCCCUGUCUCUUAUACA